AUUGAACGCUGGCGGCAUGCUUUACACAUGCAAGUCGAACGGUAACAGGCCGCAAGGUGCUGACGAGUGGCGAACGGGUGAGUAAUGCAUCGGAACGUGCCCAGUCGUGGGGGAUAACUACUCGAAAGAGUAGCUAAUACCGCAUACGAUCUAUGGAUGAAAGCGGGGGACCGUAAGGCCUCGCGCGAUUGGAGCGGCCGAUGUCAGAUUAGGUAGUUGGUGGGGUAAAGGCUCACCAAGCCAACGAUCUGUAGCUGGUCUGAGAGGACAACCAGCCACACUGGGGCUGAGACACGGCCCAGACUCCUACGGGAGGCAGCAGUGGGGAAUUUUGGACAAUGGGCGCAAGCCUGAUCCAGCAAUGCCGCGUGCAGGAAGAAGGCCUUCGGGUUGUAAACUGCUUUUGUACGGAACGAAACGGCUCUGGUUAAUACCCGGGGCUAAUGACGGUACCGUAAGAAUAAGCACCGGCUAACUACGU
rnacentral:rRNA from 1 species